rnacentral:lncRNA from 1 species
GGUGAGGAAACUGAGACCCAGAUUUUGCAGAUGUCACAGAGCUAGCUGCAAUUCUUGAAUCUGAAUCCACGUCCUUUCCCACUGUACCACACUGCCUGUGAUAAGAAGGACAAGGAUGAAGAUGAUCAAUCACAGAAACAUUGUCAACGUCAUUCAAGAUUUCAGUGAGAACCUGAACCUGAGGGUUUAGGAACCAGAAGAGGAGUGUAAUCAGAAAACCUCCUAAGCAAAGCUGCAUAUCUGCAGAGCAAGAGAAUAUUGAACAGAGACGGAAGCCAAGUCCUUUGGUUACCCCUAGUGCUUCAUUCCUCUGGGCUCCAUCCAUACUUCCUGCCAGGAGAAGAGAACUAUGCAGUGGUGGACCUUGGCUCUCCUAGCCCUGCUGCCUUUGCUCCGAGGGGAUCCAACCACCACCCAAGUUUCUCCAGCAGAGAAUGAUAUCCCCAGACAAGAGGAAAUUAGUAAAGAAUCCAGUUCAAAUUUAGAGUUGGAUUCUAACCCUGGAUUUGGUGAGGAAUCAAGUGAAGAAAUCAUUGAAGGAGACUCCACUGGGAAAGCCAGUAGGGAAGAACACAGGAAAACCAGCCCCAAAACUAGAUGGAGAGCUACAAUGGAAAUCCAGAGAGGAUGCAAUCUGGGAGCACAGAAUUGA